CACUUUUUCUCUAUACAAAUUGUCAACAUGUAAAUUUUUUUAAUCUAGAUUGGUUUAUUGGAUAUUCGGUCUAACUAUAUCCACCAUGAAUCGGACGGCAACAUCACUGCAAUCAAAUUGAACCGGUCACUCGAACAUGAGAGGUGGGAUAAUGACACCUCUCCCUUAUCAACCAGCUACAUCAGUUGGUCUACUCCGAUUGGGUCAAUAUGUUCGUACACGUGGACGUGAGAUUUACUCCGUCAGCGUGCCCUAUACCCACCUCGUGGUGGUCGAGCGUUAGACGCACCUGGUGAGCAGGUCUCUCUGAGAUCGUUAGCUACAGUUGGUGACCAAUUCGAUUCCACGUAUAAAGGUUGGGUCCAACAUUUAAAAAAAAAAACCUUGGAGAAACAACACUGAAUUAUUUGAAUGGUUGCUCUAGAAACAAGGAGGAGGUCCAUGUCAUGCAUGCUGAAUUAGCAGCAACCAUACACGACAUUUGGAAGUGCCCAUUACUUUAUUUUUUUGUAUAUAUUUUUAUUGCAUACAUUCAUAUCUCUCAAUUUAUUCGAGCUUUA